AUACGGAGGAUCCAAGCGUUAUCCGGAAUCAUUGGGUUUAAAGGGUCCGUAGGCGGGUUUGUAAGUCAGUGGUGAAAGUUUUCGGCUCAACCGGAAAAUUGCCAUUGAUACUGCAAGUCUUGAAUCAUUAUGAAGUGGUUAGAAUGUGUAGUAUAGCGGUGAAAUGCAUAGAUAUUACACAGAAUACCGAUUGCGAAGGCAGAUCACUAAUAAUGUAUUGACGCUAAGGGACGAAAGCGUGGGUAGCGAACAGGAUUAGAAACCCUAGUAGUCC
rnacentral:rRNA from 1 species